CUCUCUCUACCUCUGGAGGUGGAAUAUCAGGAUAAAAACACCUACAGCUGUGUGCUGAACAAUCCCAUCAGCAACCAGACUCAACAUCUGGACAUCACUCACCUCUGUCACACAUGUGCAGGUACGACAGAGCUGAUAUAUGUGAUUUUGUAUCCAUUCACUUACAUUAAUGACUGUCUCUCUUUUACUCCAGUCUCAGUGUCGCUGAUAGUGUUGAUCUCUGCUGCUGCUGCUACUGCUGGAUUUCUGUUGAUUAUAUUUGCAGUCGGAAUCUGGUGCAUCUGCAGGAAACGUAAAAAAUUAGUUGUUAAUGCAGACCAGACCCAUGAGAAAGACCAAACUGAUUCAGCAUUGUGUAAACCAACAAAACGAAAGAAGAAAUCAAAGGAGCCCGUGUAUGAAAAUUUCAACUCAAAACGAUGUUUUUCUUCCUGACUGUAUCUAAUGUUUUUUUUGUUUUGUUUUUUUUUUUUGUUUUUUUGUCUUUUGCAACUCUCAUAAGUUGAUAUUGUUGAAUCUGAAAUUGUGUUGCUCUGUAUUAAUUUAAUUUAGUGAUUCACAAGUGCUGUAGCAUCCAGAAACUCAACUAAAUAUUUGUAUCUUAACACGCAUGGAAAUUUACUAACUUUAUUAAAUAUUGAUCCCACCCUUCCUGUUUAAAAAGUAAACUGAACAUCAAUGCACAGUUGUUCACAGUAUCUCACAUGUUCUGCUGGAUAUUUUGGCAAAUUCAACACAUCAUCGCCCUCUAGUGUCAAAGGCAGAAAGUCACAUCUCUCUCAUAAUAGCUCUAAUUUUACCCGACACAGUGGGCUAUAAAUAGAUGCUGCAGUUCACACAGAGGAAGAACUGAAGAACCAAUAUAAGGAAUUAGUAAGUAGUUCAUGGUGCUUCGACACUUUUGCAAAUCAUUCGUUUCGUUAUGAAUUCCAAUGGUGCGCCGCUAGGGGGCGAUGAUCACUGCGUGAACCCACGAACUAGUCUUGUGUGUUUGAUUUUUACCUUCUCGGAUCAGUUUUUAUACAUUUUUACGCAUUCAGUAACACAUUUGUUUAAUAAAAUGAAAGCUGUAGUUAAAAGUCUCUUAUUGGACUGAUUAGCUCUUCAUAAAACAAACAAAACAAGCCCGGAAAUUUAGCCAAAUAAGAUAGGCCUAUCACAAAUUAUAAAGACACUUCAUAUGUAAUGGUACUAGAUGACUUAUUAAUUGCCAAGACCUUCAAUAGAACAUUUCUAAUGGGUUUGUAAAAGCUGUCUUUAUGCAUGUUUGGACUGAGUUUUCGCUGCUUUUACACUGUUCUGACCAGCAGGAGUCACCAGCGUGUGGCGAUUCGAACCAGUGAAUCAUUUCGCGAAGCAGUUGAUUCAAUUGAUUCAAAGCUUCGUUUCUCACAUUAUUUCUGUCUGAACACUAACAAAACUCGAAGGAAUUACAAAAUAAAUAUAAAUUAUUUUUGGAGAGUGUGAAAAAGUGAAAAACUGUGAAGAACUGUGAAAACGUCUUUCUGCAUAUCCAAAAGAUGGUAGGUAGAGAAAUAUGACUGGAUUCAUAACAUAACUCAUGCAAACAAACAAAAAGAACUUCACUUAUUUACACUUUUAUCAGAGUGAAAACAUUCUUAACUUUUGGACACUUAAAUAUGAUAGUUUCAUUAUUGUUUCUCUCCCUCAGUGUUUCUCAUCUUGUUUUGAUCAGAUUAAAUAG